GCGCGCGGGGCGACCGUGAGGGGAGGAGGGGGCGAGGCCUCCCCGCUCCCAUUCCAGCUCCCACUCCCGGCCCUUUCCCGCCUGCCUCCGCCCGGCCGCGGGGCAGCGCCGACAGCCGUCCUCCGCGCGGCGCUGGAGGCCGUGGGCGAUGCCAGAGCAGAGCUUUGUAUUCCUGAGGGACAGCACCCAUCCCCACACACACACACACACACACACAGAGACAGGAGUUUUGGGGCGGCCGCUCAGUGUCGCGGCGGGUGACCCGGCUCGUGAGGCGAAGCCUCGCACGGAGAUUGAAGGGCUGAGUGGUCCUUGUGGAAAUCCACCCUUCGCAUUUCACCCUGUUUCAUCAGCAUUCCCCCGCCAGCCCCUGGCUGUGCGAGGUUAGUCCUCGCUCGUCUCUGUACAACCGAGUCCCUGGUGUUCUGCGCAAUACAAAUCAUAAGGGUGCAGAUUUAAAAAAUAUUCAGAGUUUUAUAUUCAAGAUUUAUAGUUGUUAGCUCUAAAAAUUAUGAGUAAAAAACCCACCCCAGCAACGGUUGUUUGGAGCAAAAUUAAUUUUAAAGCAGGCAGGAAGCCUCUCUAGGUCUGCAAAGGCAGGACAGACACACCUGUGAGCUCGGCGUGCAGAGGGCACAAACUGCUAUGCUAAUGGCAAACAGAGUUAGCUUAGGUUUCAAGGUUUACUGACUCGAGUGUUGACUCUAUUCGGGAAGAAAACAGAAAAAAUACACUGUUACCUCAUAGCCGGCUGACAAAUACGUCUGCCUUACAAGCAAGCAAACAUUUGGAAGACCAGAGUGACUAUGUCUGUAGGGAUAACAUAACCAGGGUGAGAAAAGCUUUCUGAAAACAGCUGCUGAUAAUGGAAGCUAUUCCGAAGUGUUAAGAAAAGAAAGUUGCAAAAGAUGGAUUCCUUGUGAUUCAGACAUACUGAAGAAACACUGAGGACUCUCUAUCCCCUCUAAAAAGCAGCUCAGUGCAAAAUUAACCCCUGGAGCAUGGCCUGGUUCGUCUUCAGCUCCAGAGCAAGCAGAGGUAACCAGCCAAGAGCAACCACCCCAGAGCUGAGGGGAGUAAAAGGCAUUGCAGCAAAGCCUGGCAAAUGCAGCUUCGGCUGGAAUGGCUGGGUGAUCAAUGGCAGCGCGGCUCCAGCGCACCUCUGUGUUGCGCUGAUGGGAGGGACUUUCUGCUGGCAGAAAAUACAUUGUGUUUUAAACUGUGUCAGAGCUUGAGUCCCACACUGCAGCAGCUAAAUGCAGCUCUGAAAAACAUUUUGUUACAGCUCUUUACUGUUACUUCUGGAAUAAGGGUUAUAAUGUAUCUGCAGUGCUGAGUUCUUAUCAGCACAACUGGAAUGGGAAAAAAAGUGCGGUUUAAUUGCAACCAAUGAAGUUCCAGCAGCUCUAAGUCAUUACUGACUUCACUAAGACUACCCCAAAAUCACUUUAAGGCCCUGUCUGUUCUUAGGCUGCACUAGAUCCCUCUGUGCACCCCCGCUCUGAAAGCCUCCUCAGGAACUGUGCAGAUUUGGGUGCUCCUGCAUGUACAAGGACCUGAAGCCUUUUCAAGGCAAGAGAAGGUGACCAAAAAUAGCAAAUUUAAUUGCUUCAGCAUUACCUAAGUUAAUGUCUUGCUAUUUAAGAAUGAUGUGUUAAGGAUGAAGGAAACAUACUUUGUCAAAGCAAGGAAAGCUCAAGAUCUGGCUGUGAUAGUGUGGUAAAGAAACUUCAUUUAAGACCAGCAUCAGCCCCACUUCUGCCUGAUUAACUGUUGGGGGGAGGUUUUUUAUUUUCUGUUGGGAAAAUUCUGUGAGCAAUAAGCGGGAAUAACUGUUAAUUCUUAUCUGCUUCUUCUGGGAAGUGGAUGAUUUCGUUCCAGCACAGACAUGACUAAUACCAAGCUCCUUCCAGCUGCUGGGGGACAGGCUGUUUGUGGCAGGGUGGUUUGUGUGCCUCAGCCUUUCAGUGUCCCAGGGUCUUCAGACAAGUUAAACGAACCCGUGCUGUCUCAGGAGCCCAAUGCACAAGGGAGCUGGAUAGAAGUCCUCAGCAAGAUUGCAGCUGUCUGGUAACCAUUUUAAGCUCAUUUCAUACAAGCUUGGGGAAAAUAACAUAUUACUACCAUUGAAUAUUUCAGAGAGCUCAUUACACAAUUGAGACUCAGUUUCACUGAGCAACAGCAGAAACUGAGACAGAAGCAGAAUAGUUUUAUAAGUUUAUUGUAAAGACCUUCACAAUCUCAGUACAGAGAUAAGGUAUAAAAUGAUGUUUGGAAUAAUUAAGGCUGGUUGGUGGUCAUCCAAAUUUCACUGUUCAAUGGAACUCAAGCAAGAGCAACUGAUUUCUGACUGUACAUAUUUUUAUUUGUGUUCCACCGUUACAGUGAGAUCACAAGUUAUUUCAAAGACUCAAUGCCUGUUUAUUAUAAAAUAAAGGACAUUAUUUACAUGAUG